rnacentral:rRNA from 1 species
UACGAAGGGGGCUAGCGUUGUUCGGAAUUACUGGGCGUAAAGCGCACGUAGGCGGAUAUUUAAGUCAGGGGUGAAAUCCCAGAGCUCAACUCUGGAAUUGCCUCUGAUACUGGGUAUCUUGAGUAUGGAAGAGGUGAGUGGAAUUGCGAGUGUAGAGGUGAAAUUCGUAGAUAUUCGCAGGAACACCAGUGGCGAAGGCGGCUCACUGGUCCAUAACUGACGCUGAGGUGCGAAAGCGUGGGGAGCAAACAGG